rnacentral:rRNA from 1 species
AGAGUUUGUUCCUGGCUCAGGAUGAACGCCGGCGGUGUGCCUAAUACAUGCAAGUCGUACGCACUGGCCCAACUGAUUGAUGGUGCUUGCACCUGAUUGACGAUGGAUCACCAGUGAGUGGCGGACGGGUGAGUAACACGUAGGUAACCUGCCCCGGAGCGGGGGAUAACAUUUGGAAACAGAUGCUAAUACCGCAUAACAACAAAAGCCACAUGGCUUUUGUUUGAAAGAUGGCUUUGGCUAUCACUCUGGGAUGGACCUGCGGUGCAUUAGCUAGUUGGUAAGGUAACGGCUUACCAAGGCGAUGAUGCAUAGCCGAGUUGAGAGACUGAUCGGCCACAAUGGAACUGAGACACGGUCCAUACUCCUACGGGAGGCAGCAGUAGGGAAUCUUCCACAAUGGGCGCAAGCCUGAUGGAGCAACACCGCGUGAGUGAAGAAGGGUUUCGGCUCGUAAAGCUCUGUUGUUGGAGAAGAACGUGCGUGAGAGUAACUGUUCACGCAGUGACGGUAUCCAACCAGAAAGUCACGGCUAACUACGUGCCAGCAGCCGCGGUAAUACGUAGGUGGCAAGCGUUAUCCGGAUUUAUUGGGCGUAAAGCGAGCGCAGGCGGUUGCUUAGGUCUGAUGUGAAAGCCUUCGGCUUAACCGAAGAAGUGCAUCGGAAACCGGGCGACUUGAGUGCAGAAGAGGACAGUGGAACUCCAUGUGUAGCGGUGGAAUGCGUAGAUAUAUGGAAGAACACCAGUGGCGAAGGCGGCUGUCUGGUCUGCAACUGACGCUGAGGCUCGAAAGCAUGGGUAGCGAACAGGAUUAGAUACCCUGGUAGUCCAUGCCGUAAACGAUGAGUGCUAGGUGUUGGAGGGUUUCCGCCCUUCAGUGCCGGAGCUAACGCAUUAAGCACUCCGCCUGGGGAGUACGACCGCAAGGUUGAAACUCAAAGGAAUUGACGGGGGCCCGCACAAGCGGUGGAGCAUGUGGUUUAAUUCGAAGCUACGCGAAGAACCUUACCAGGUCUUGACAUCUUGCGCUAACCUUAGAGAUAAGGCGUUCCCUUCGGGGACGCAAUGACAGGUGGUGCAUGGUCGUCGUCAGCUCGUGUCGUGAGAUGUUGGGUUAAGUCCCGCAACGAGCGCAACCCUUGUUACUAGUUGCCAGCAUUAAGUUGGGCACUCUAGUGAGACUGCCGGUGACAAACCGGAGGAAGGUGGGGACGACGUCAGAUCAUCAUGCCCCUUAUGACCUGGGCUACACACGUGCUACAAUGGACGGUACAACGAGUCGCAAGCUCGCGAGAGUAAGCUAAUCUCUUAAAGCCGUUCUCAGUUCGGACUGUAGGCUGCAACUCGCCUACACGAAGUCGGAAUCGCUAGUAAUCGCGGAUCAGCAUGCCGCGGUGAAUACGUUCCCGGGCCUUGCACUCACCGCCCGUCA